rnacentral:sRNA from 1 species
CCACCUCGAUUUGCUGGGGGCAAAUAAAAUGCACAUGGCUAUCGAUGCCCCCAGCAGUGAGAAUAUGUCCUUCACCGGCGAUCGCCUCCGUGCCGGGGCCAAUAAUAAUGUCGAUAUUGUCUUGGAUGUCAGGGUUGCCAGCUUUGCCGAUUUUGUAAAUUUUGCCGUCUUUGAUACCGACAUCGGCCUUGACGAUGCCCCACCAGUCGACGAUCAGCGCAUUGGUAAUCACCGUAUCUACCGCCCCAUCAGCACGGGGAACGGCGGACUGUCCCAUGCCAUCGCGG